rnacentral:rRNA from 1 species
AAAUUGAAGAGUUUGAUCAUGGCUCAGAUUGAACGCUGGCGGCAGGCCUAACACAUGCAAGUCGAACGGUAACAGAAAGCAGCUUGCUGCUUUGCUGACGAGUGGCGGACGGGUGAGUAAUGUCUGGGAAACUGCCUGAUGGAGGGGGAUAACUACUGGAAACGGUAGCUAAUACCGCAUAACGUCGCAAGACCAAAGAGGGGGACCUUCGGGCCUCUUGCCAUCGGAUGUGCCCAGAUGGGAUUAGCUAGUAGGUGGGGUAACGGCUCACCUAGGCGACGAUCCCUAGCUGGUCUGAGAGGAUGACCAGCCACACUGGAACUGAGACACGGUCCAGACUCCUACGGGAGGCAGCAGUGGGGAAUAUUGCACAAUGGGCGCAAGCCUGAUGCAG